GCGGAGUUAACUGGCUGCAUUGCUGGUCUGACAAAACAACUGGAAAUAAUGGAGAAUUAGCAACUAGAGAAACUUCUGUGAAGAUGGCACCUUACAAAUUUAUGAAGUGAUACACUGAAAUCAAGCCUCAGCACCACCAAGAUGCCACUGUUGGGCCCUUGAGCAAGGCCCUUAACUCCAAAUUGCUCAAGGGGGAUUGUCCCUGUAAUAAGUGCACUAUGGGACAAAGCGGGGCUCCACAGGGGGGCUUCCAGUUGGUGGCGGACUAUCAAUGUG